UGGUCACAGUACUGUACAUUAGUAAAUAAAGAGUGACUUGGUGAUGGGACACUGAUCUCUGUGCAGUUGUUUUAGUGGUGAUGGGAGAAAACAAGAUCUGCUUGAAAAAUAUUUGCCUGCAACUUUUACCUUGGAGCUUGGGGUCUCUCCAUCGGAUGAUUAGCCAGAAAACCUGGAGGAAGGUGGGUGAUAAUUUUUUUAUCCAGUCAAUGUCAGAAAGAGGAUAUCCAACAUCAACUGGAAGAUUUAUGCCAACAGAGAAAACCGUGAAAUGCUCUCUUGGCAGGCAGAGCUAGUGUCACCUCUUCAAUGCAGCUGUGGCUGAUGGACUGGAACUACUCAGUGAGAAGAUCCCAGAAAUGGCCAUCUCAAGCAAGGCAGAAUCUAACCAUCUCCCUCUGACUCUCUCUGAAUUCCCCCAUUAUCAGCAUUCUGGGCAUGGCCAAUGGCCAGAAACUGAACUGGACAAUCAAAAACCAAGAAUCCUGAAAUUAGCUGCUCAACUAUCCA